CAGUAGCCGCGGGAAUACAGAGGGUGCGAGCGUUAAUCGGAUUUACUGGGCGUAAAGCGUGCGUAGGCGGUGAGUUAAGUCUGCUGUGAAAUCCCCGGGCUCAACCUGGGAAUGGCAGUGGAUACUGGCUCGCUAGAGUGUGUCAGAGGAUGGUGGAAUUCCCGGUGUAGCGGUGAAAUGCGUAGAGAUCGGGAGGAACAUCAGUGGCGAAGGCGGCCAUCUGGGACAACACUGACGCUGAGGCGCGAAAGCUAGGGGAGCAAACAGGAUUAGAUACCCCUGUAGUCCCUGUCUCUUAUAC
rnacentral:rRNA from 1 species